AAAUGAACACAACUAACACUAUAAAGCAAUUAUACACCAAUAAAAUUAUUUUUCAAUUAAAAAAAAAAAGAAUGAUCUGAUCAUGGGCACCCACGGCUCUCAUUUUCCAAGCCAGUCCUUUCUCCCUUCUCUCAGGCCUGCCCCAGCCCUGAGCCCUCCUGGCCCAGCGGUUCACUCCUCUCCCUGGGCUCUGAGAUCGACCUCCCCAUCCAGCUUCUGCAUCCCAUCUGCUGACGAGCUUCUCCCGUCCCCCCCGCGGUCCUAUGGCCAGUCUCUCUCACAGCCUCUGUGCCCGAGGAUGCCCUUGCUCUAAGUCCCCUAAACCCCUGGCACCAGAGAACCAAGCACAAGCCUAGAAUUCUCCAGCAGGCUUCCAGGGUUCGCCAUCAACCCGGGGUCAGUGGUGACGGCGGGCAAACCCAGCAGGGCCCUUCUUGCCCUGCAAGGGACCCAGGUACCUGGGGAGGGGCGCCCAGCAGGGGCCUAACCUGCCGGCACUUUGCACAACCUCAUCUCAUCUUUCCCAUUUUCCUGCCCUCUGCAUGAUUCCAACUCGGGCUUUAAUUUUCUCAAAUGAUACAAUUUGGUGGUUUGGGGUUUCUGCAGGAGAAUUUCUGUGAUCCUCAGAGUACCAGGGCCUGUUUGCUCUUGUUAGAGAAGAGGGACUGUGGACGCUCUGCAGACCCCGUCAGGCUGUGGUAAUAACCAGGGGCUGCUGGAGCGGCAAAGCAUAAACCUGGUCCUUCUUAGUGAGACUUCGCAGAAAUCCCACUGGAGAUUUUUCGGCCCCUGCCCUGUCUACUUUCCUUCAUCAUGAUAAAUGACUGAAAAGAAAACUAUCUAAUCUCCAAACUGCUCACUUUUUUUUUUUCUUCCCCCAACUCUUUUCUUCAAGGAGAGAUGGGAGCACACAGUCACAUAAAACAGAGUCCUUCAUCGCCUGCUUCUCAGGAGACGGUUCUUUCCCUUUUCAUCCGGGCCUGUUUCUGAUCUCUGAUGGGCUCGCCCUGAAAGCUCCGGCGGGGCCCUCUCUAAUCAGCUGCGACAGACGCGGCUGUGGCUCGGGUUGCCCAUCGAAAUUGAAUUGAUUGCCCGGCCCCUUUGCCGUUUUGUUCUGCACACAAUUGCUUAAUAGCUGUCACCUUGGCUUUCAGUCGCAGCCGGCUUUGGGGCUGACUGGUUCCCAUUACUCAGGAUGGCCAGUGCAAGUUCAUCACCUUUACAGGAUGUCCGUGAUUGAUUCCGUAUGCCUUGGAGACCUGUAAUGUAUUUGCAUAGGAGGGCGGGGGGCGGACCCAAUAGAGAUCUCUAGGCCUCGGGAACUGCCAGGUUUUGCUGGGGGCCAUAUUUGAAUCAUUACCAGGGCUUCUUGUCACGAGUCUGGCCUCUGCUGACAUCUCUGCUAAUGAAUUUGUAAAUUAAAAAAAACUUUGCUGUUGCCACCUGCCGCCUGCAGGGCACCGCUGCAGCAGCCACUUUUCAUGUGGCAGGUUUCUGGCCUGAUGAUGUAUGACCUGUUGGCGCUACUGAAUGGUGCCCUUUGUUCCAGGGGAUCCCAUGUGCCCCCUUUUUAUUGACUUGUUGAUUCAAAGGGGCAGGAAAGUUCCACAAAUCCCACUGCAGGCCCUGUUCUAGCCCUGCCCAGGUGGGGAAGUCCACGGACCUCAUGCUUCCCAGAAAAGCUGGUAGGAAGCUGCGGGCUGCCUAAAGACAAAAUCUCUCUUAAGAAGCGGCUUUCUUUACCUCAAACUCAGGCAACUGUGUGUCUGGAGAGAGCCUGGGAACACACAUCAAGCUCCCAGCCCUCUAGAAGGUGUGGAGUAUUCCAGAAUGCCAUCUGCACCCAGAAAGAAAAGAGCAGAGCAGGUGUAUGUUAGGAAGAGCCCCCACUUCCCUGUCCUCUGGGCCAAGUUCAGUUAAGUUUUUCUCUGUGACCAACAAGGUGGGUGUGUAUGUGUGCAUUCAGUCAUGUCCAACUCUUUGCGACCCUAUGGAUUGUAGCCCGCCAGGCUCCUCUGUCCAUGGGAUUCUUUAGGCAAGAAUACUGGAGUGGUUUGCCAUUUCCUCCUCCAGGGAACCUUCCCAAUCCAGGGAAUGAACCUGUAUCUCCUGCAUUAACCAGUGGAUCCUUUACCACUGAGCCAUCUGGGAAGACAGCAGCAAAAAUGAAGAAGGAGCGUGGCUUCCUUCUGCAGGGAGAAGUCCUGCCAGAGAACAAUCCCAGGGCCACAGGAGAGGACUCUGGGGAAAUAGGAGACAAGGUUGAUGUCUACCCAGCAGGAAAUUUCAUCUUAAUCCUCCUGAGGACAAGGAUUUACAGGGUACCCCUUACCCUUGUCUUCUCUUCCCUGGCUCCCUCCUGGAGAUGGUGGGUGACAGUGAGCAGUUUUGGAAAAGGAGCCAGGAAGGAUAGGGAGCCAAAGAGGUGAGGAGUUGUUAGGAGGGAGACCCAAUACACCUUCGGACAUCAGUUUCUCUUCUCAUUUAGGACUGUGAACCUGGACUGGAUUUUGUCUCCUUUUUUUAACCCCAUCUUAAGACCAAACUUCAAGGAUUUGGCAGAGGACUGGACAAAUGGCGGUCUCUGCCAAGCCUCAAUUCCUCCUCUAGGGGGUGAGGUGCAGGGGGUUGAUGGGCACACACAUUGACUGUUGU